CGACGGGUGAGUAACACGUGGGAAUCUGCCCUGCACUCUGGGACAAGCCUUGGAAACGAGGUCUAAUACCGGAUAUGACCUGUCCUCGCAUGGGGACGGGUGUAAAGCUCCGGCGGUGCAGGAUGAUCCCGCGGCCUAUCAGCUUGUUGGUGGGGUAAUGGCCUACCAAGGCGACGACGGGUAGCCGGCCUGAGAGGGCGACCGGCCACACUGGGACUGAGACACGGCCCAGACUCCUACGGGAGGCAGCAGUGGGGAAUAUUGCACAAUGGGCGAAAGCCUGAUGCAGCGACGCCGCGUGAGGGAUGACGGCCUUCGGGUUGUAAACCUCUUUCAGCAGGGAAGAAGCGCAAGUGACGGUACCUGCAGAAGAAGCACCGGCUAACUACGUGCCAGCAGCCGCGGUAAUACG
rnacentral:rRNA from 1 species